ACACUCCUACGGGAGGCAGCAGUGGGGAAUUUUGGACAAUGGGCGAAAGCCUGAUCCAGCCAUGCCGCGUGCAGGAUGAAGGCCUUCGGGUUGUAAACUGCUUUUGUACGGAACGAAACGGCCUUUUCUAAUAAAGAGGGCUAAUGACGGUACCGUAAGAAUAAGCACCGGCUAACUACGUGCCAGCAGCCGCGGUAAUACGUAGGGUGCAAGCGUUAAUCGGAAUUACUGGGCGUAAAGCGUGCGCAGGCGGUUAUGUAAGACAGUUGUGAAAUCCCCGGGCUCAACCUGGGAACUGCAUCUGUGACUGCAUAGCUAGAGUACGGUAGAGGGGGAUGGAAUUCCGCGUGUAGCAGUGAAAUGCGUAGAUAUGCGGAGGAACACCGAUGGCGAAGGCAAUCCCCUGGACCUGUACUGACGCUCAUGCACGAAAGCGUGGGGAGCAAACAGGAUUAGAUACCCGUGUAGUCCCA
rnacentral:rRNA from 1 species